GUCCGGUGAAGAGCAGGUGACGCUGGCCUUUCAAGCCGGUAACACGGGUUCGAAUCCCGUCGGGGACA
rnacentral:tRNA from 2 species